rnacentral:ncRNA from 2 species
CCCCCUUAAGGUGAUGGCGUGCCACCUUCCCCAACCGCCGUUCUGGCAACAGACGGCUGAUGACGCCUGACAACAC